rnacentral:rRNA from 1 species
AUGUGCAGAGGAACGGUGGACGACCUCCGCCCGCUCGGAGCCCGGCGGCGGCUCGAGGUACGGGCGUUCUACCUCCGCCUCUCCUCGUCAUCCACGUCCACGUCGGCGCCGCCCGCGGAGCUCACGCUCGUGUACCGCCCGGCCAUCGGCGGCGCGGCGCUGGAGCUGGGCGGCCGCGCGCUCCCGCCGGCCUGCCCCGCCGAGGUCACCCUCCUGCGCGUGCGCGGCAACGACGACGCGCCGGCGUACGGGAGCGCGGACCGCGUCUCUGCCGCCGAGGGCGCGCGGUUCGAGGUGUACGCCGGGAAGGAGGGGCUCGCGGCGGAGGGCGCCUUCGCGCGGCGCAACGGCGGGUGGCGCGUCGAGUGCCGCCGCCCGGUCGCGUCGCACGCGCGCGUCGUGGAGGUGCUGGUCCUUGCGGAGGGCGGCGUGGUCGUAAGAGCCAGGGCCAGGGCGUCGGCGGCGAGGAGGAUGGGAUGCGCCACGCGGCUCGAGGGGAUACCGGAGGAAGAGGACGCGCCGUGCGAGUGCGGGGCGUGCGGAGACGAGUGGGAGAUGGUCGGCCACGUCGGCGACGAGUUCAAGGAGCACGAGGAGGAGGUUGAGGCGGAAACGAUGCGGUGGGCGCUGGAGAUGGGUGCCUGGGCGGUGUGCGUCGGGGUCGGGCUGCUCGCCACCGCCCGCCGGUUCAGCCGGAGGCGACCCGCGCUCCGGUGA